UAUUUAUAUUUGUAUUGUUCCAUAAUAGUAUAGCUGCAAGUUGUUUCCACCGCAGAAAAAAUGUUAGUCAAUUCAUAUUGUUUCCUUACUAUAUAUUUUUGUCACUUAGCUGCUAAGCAUUUUUUUACAUCAAUCACCACAUUUCAUACGUGCAGUGCACAUACAUGAUGUGAUGCAUAAUCAACUAUCUGUUUCUAGCCCAAGGGUUCAUGCCAAUGCUUCCUCCACUGCAGGCAAACACAAGUAAAUGUUCGAUAUUUUCUUACUCUACCUUUUUCACCUAAGUAUGUAUUCACAGGGCUCAUCAUGCACCUCAAGAGAUACCCUUUGCCAUUUUAUCCCAUAUAUAUGUCAGUGUUCAUGUGUCCACCUCCCAGGCUUCUCACUCUCUGCCCACAAGUUUCCGUUUGCUGUUGUUUUCAUAGGGGUUUGUACUAGACCAGGCUAUUUGCUGGGUACAGGUCGUCCGUUCGCUGGGAUUGCCGCGCUUGGUUGCCGCGGCUGCUUCGGUUCGAAUGCUCUUCGGUUGCUGCUGUGGUUACUUGCUAAUGUGACCUGCUGCUGGACUUGCCCGUGUUGUCUUCCUAGGAUUUCUUCUUUCUCAGGAUGUUCGUCGUCUCCUAUUCUCCUCUGCAUUUGUUGGACCUGGUCGCUUCUCACUGUCGGUUGUCGUACCAUGGCUACCUGCGUGAGGCGGGCGGUGAUGGUUCCGUCCUUGGAGGCGUGGAGCUUGAGAUCGCUGUUGUCCAAGAGGGGCCCGCGCCCACCCGUUUUUUUUCUGGUCGUCCGUGUUGUCUGGUUCGCAGUCUCCGUUCGAGGAAUCGGCCUGGACCUGAGAGAUCCCUGGACGCCUGCGCCUGAUCAUCUUGCCGCCUUCUGUUCCCACCUCGACCGACCACAGGCCUCUGUCUUAGCCUCUCGUCCAACAGCAACUUGACCGCUGAAUCUCGCAGCUUUAUGGAACGUGUUGAGAUAUCGCCUGUUGCUGUUCUGGAAGCUAUGAUGAAGGAGCUGCGACUUCCAGGCCCUGAGUACAUCCAUGACGUGCCGCAUGGGACAGCUUCACGACUAAAGUGGUGUUCUUCCCAUCCAUCCAGUUUAUGAGCGCUUCGGAGGAACCUUACUCACUGUACGGUUACCCAGCAAUGACUCUGGAAGCUGCAAAACGUGAUGCUGCUCGAUAGGCUAUCGCGUAUAUGGAGCAAUCUGAGAAGAAAGUGCCUUCGGGUUUCGCAGAUGCUGCUUUCAAGGAAGAGAAGAAAAGAGCGGAGUUUCUCCGUCAUGAAUUGGAGAAGAAUAAAGAAAAGUUGAUCCGAAAGUCCAACCAGCUGAUACAAACCGCGGCAGCAUGUGAUGAGUACGUUGACACUGUAACUGAAUCAAACCGUCGUAUCAAGGAUAUUAUCCUGAAGACGUUGACUCUAGGUUGUACCACUCCACCUCACCAAUGUCAGAGUAGCCUCCUUGAAAUCCAGAAUAUCGCUAUUAGUCUUAGUCAACAUACAGCUAAGACAAUUGCCAUGGUCAGAGCUGCAGGACCAUCUCCAUUUGGUGAGGACACUUUUCAUAAUGACCGGCUCUCUUCAUCCGGUAACUCAGAUUUUUCGUCAACGAGAUUUGCCCCUCCUGAGUAUGACUCUGAUGGACGUCCUACAGACUAUUCCGUGUAAUCGUUCUUAUCCAGAUUAGGAAUAUUGAUUCCCAUAUCUGAUCAUGGGCAAUAGUCCUUCAAUCUACUAUCCAAUGUU